UUCGCCCGCCGGCGACCGGCGCACGGGUGAGUAACACGUAUGCAACCUGGCCGCCACAGGGGGAUAACCCGCGGAAACGCGGCCUAAUACCCCGUGACGCCACCGGAGGGCAUCCUCCGGUGGCCAAAGGAGCGAUCCGGUGGCGGAUGGGCAUGCGGCGCAUUAGGUAGUUGGUGGGGCAACGGCCCACCAAGCCGACGAUGCGUAGGGGUUCUGAGAGGAAGGUCCCCCACAUUGGAACUGAGACACGGUCCAAACUCCUACGGGAGGCAGCAG
rnacentral:rRNA from 1 species